GUGACAGUGUUGAAGGAGGCUGUACAGCUCCCAGUAGAGUGGUGUCACGUAAAAGAAAAGAAUGCCUACACACACUGACAGGGAGCCAGGAUUUUUACCCUGUGAAGAGGGUUGCCAAAUGCAAAGUUGUUAAGGGCCAAAAAAUGAAGCAGGUCGAGUGGGAGCCAUGCAAACUCUGUGGAAAGAAGUGGCCAUUGGAGUGGGUGGCGGAUGACAACACUUGUUAGUGCUUCCAUUGUAGGUGCCAUUGGUGUGUGGAGAUCUGUAAAUUAUAUCUGUAAAUUAUUAUAAUAGUAAAUUAUAUUGUUCUAUCCUCAGCCUACUACACUAAGGGCUAGAUUUAUCAAGCCGUUUGCGCCUGUUUCCAGGCACUAAUUGGUCGCAAAGACGGACGUAACC